CCGCUGCCCGGGCCCUUUCCCGCGGUGGCCACCCCGAGCGAGGGCGAAGCUGGGGGGAGAAGCCCCGGGAGAGGCCCCGAUCCCGCCUCCGCUGCGCCGCGCGGGCCAGUGGGCCCCGGCCGCGGCCGCCCGCCCCAGCGCGGGGCCCCCACGGGGGGAUGUUUAUUGCCAGAGAACCCAGCGCCCGCAAAUAAAACACAACCCCAAAACCACCCGCUGCGAACAGCCCCGGGCCGCAGCCCCGCAGCGCCCCCCAGCGUCUGUAUUUGGUUUAUUGCAUUUCACCGCCAGCUCCCACUGCCCCGCAGAGCCGGGUGUGGGCAGAGUUGCCACCUCUGCGGGACCAACAACGGGGGCAAUGCGGGAUGAUCCUUAGCCCACGAAUCCGGACAGCUGGCAGUGUGUCCUGAGCACCCUACAGAUCCCCUGGCACAGCUACGAUCCUGGGAAAGCCUGGACAGAGCCACAGUUAUCUCAACGUAGAAGGCAAUCUGGUUGGUCUGGCGUGACUUGCCCUUGGUGAAUCCAUGUUGACUGUUCCUGAUCACCUUCCUCUCCUCCAAGAGCUUCAAAAUGGUUUCCGUGAGGACCUGCUCCAUGAUUUUUCCAGGGACUGAGAUGAGGCUGACUAGUCUGUAGUUCCCCGGGUUCUCCUUCUUCGCCUUUUAAUAGAUGGGCACUAAUUUGCCUUUUUCCAAUCGUCCGGGACCUCCCCUGAUCACCACAUGUUUUCAAAGAUAGUGGCCUGUUGGAUCAUAUUAAAGUAGUUCUGUAUUAAAA